CAGUAGCCGCGGUAAUACGAAGGGUGCAAGCGUUACCCGGAAUUACUGGGCGUAAAGCGUGCGUAGGUGGUGGUUUAAGUCCGUUGUGAAAGCCCUGGGCUCAACCUGGGAAUUGCAGUGGAUACUGGGUCACUAGAGUGUGGUAGAGGAUAGUGGAAUUUCCGGUGUAGCAGUGAAAUGCGUAGAGAUCGGAAGGAACAUCUGUGGCGAAGGCGACUAUCUGGGCCAACACUGACACUGAGGCACGAAAGCGUGGGGAGCAAACAGGAUUAGAUACCCCAGUAGUCCCUGUCUCUUAUAC
rnacentral:rRNA from 1 species